rnacentral:rRNA from 1 species
CCUACGGGAGGCAGCAGUGGGGAAUCUUGCACAAUGGGGGAAACCCUGAUGCAGCGACGCCGCGUGAAGGAAGAAGUAUUUCGGUAUGUAAACUUCUAUCAGCAGGGAAGAAAAUGACGGUACCUGACUAAGAAGCCCCGGCUAACUACGUGCCAGCAGCCGCGGUAAUACGUAGGGGGCAAGCGUUAUCCGGAUUUACUGGGUGUAAAGGGAGCGUAGGCGGUUUAGCAAGUCAGAAGUGAAAGCCCGGGGCUCAACUCCGGGACUGCUUUUGAAACUGUUGAACUAGAGUGCAGGAGAGGUAAGUGGAAUUCCUAGUGUAGCGGUGAAAUGCGUAGAUAUUAGGAGGAACACCAGUGGCGAAGGCGGCUUACUGGACUGUAAAUGACGCUGAGGCUCGAAAGCGUGGGGAGCAAACAGGAUUAGAUACCCCAGUAGUC